rnacentral:rRNA from 1 species
AUUGAACGCUGGCGGCAGGCCUAACACAUGCAAGUCGAGCGGAUGAAGGGAGCUUGCUCCUGGAUUCAGCGGCGGACGGGUGAGUAAUGCCUAGGAAUCUGCCUGGUAGUGGGGGAUAACGUCCGGAAACGGGCGCUAAUACCGCAUACGUCCUGAGGGAGAAAGUGGGGGAUCUUCGGACCUCACGCUAUCAGAUGAGCCUAGGUCGGGUUAGCUAGUUGGUGGGGUAAAGGCCUACCAAGGCGACGAUCCGUAACUGGACUGAGAGGAUGAUCAGUCACACUGGAAGUGAGACACGGUCCAGACUCCUGCGGGAGGCAGCAGUCGGGAAUAUUGGACAAUGGGGGAAAGCCUGAUCCAGCCAUGCCGAGUGUGUGAAGAAGGUCUUCGGAUUGUAAAGCACUCUAAGUUGGGAUGAAGGGCAGUAAGUUAAUACCUUGCUGUUUUGACGUUACCAACAGAAUAAGCACCGGCUAACUUCGUG